ensembl:piRNA 21ur-9256 ncRNA
UUGCCUUGCAACUUUGAAAAA